rnacentral:rRNA from 1 species
AACGAACGCUGGCGGCAUGCCUAACACAUGCAAGUCGAACGAGACCUUCGGGUCUAGUGGCGCACGGGUGCGUAACGCGUGGGAAUCUACCCUUGGGUUCGGAAUAACUCAGAGAAAUUUGAGCUAAUACCGGAUGAUGUCGCAAGACCAAAGAUUUAUCGCCCAAGGAUGAGCCCGCGUAGGAUUAGCUUGUUGGUGAGGUAAAAGCUCACCAAGGCGACGAUCCUUAGCUGGUCUGAGAGGAUGAUCAGCCACACUGGGACUGAGACACGGCCCAGACUCCUACGGGAGGCAGCAGGGGGAAUAUUGGACAAUGGGCGAAAGCCUGAUCCAGCAAUGCCGCGUGAGUGAUGAAGGCCUUAGGGUUGUAAAGCUCUUUUACCCGGGAUGAUAAUGACAGUACCGGGAGAAUAAGCCCCCGGCUAACUCCGUGCCAGCAGCCGCGGUAAU